AACGACUCUCGGCAACGGAUAUCUCGGCUCUCGCAUCGAUGAAGAACGCAGCGAAAUGCGAUACUUGGUGUGAAUUGCAGGAUCCCGCGAACCAUCGAGUUUUUGAACGCAAGUUGCGCCCGAAGCCUUUUGGCCGAGGGCACGUCUGCCUGGGUG
rnacentral:rRNA from 9 species